AUCUCAGGUUUGUCAGCCCAUG
rnacentral:miRNA from 3 species